rnacentral:lncRNA from 1 species
GUACCGGGCGGCCACUUAAGCGAGGUAAGCGGCUGUAUCUCAGAAACUAAUAAUCGUAAAACCUUCAUUGGCCGGCUACUAGGGGCCGUUACAGCUACUUUAAAAUUUAAAAUUCAAUUUUUUCAAAAACCUUGCAAUAACGGGCAUCUUAAAAUAUUAUUGUAAUAAUCUUCAAACAUUUCCAGACAAAAAAGUCUUAACAAACACUUGUAAAGUAAAGUGGUGGGGAAAGUGUUUAGCUUGAGUGAGAAAAACAGCUGAAAACUGGCUCUGGAUGGGCCGAUUCUUCUAAAAUAAGUUUUGGUCAAAAGUCUCUCUACUGCUUUAUUUUUCAUAUCAACAAAAUAUUACUGUUAGCUUUCGCUAAAAUCCGAUAGGAUCGAUACCUCUUGCGAUUUAAAAUUUUUUAGGUUGUGACCCUGGGGGAGUAGAGGGUGAAGUAAUUUUAGGUUAGAAAGUUGUCCCCCUUGACAAACCUUUUGACGUGUUUCGACGUUCUUUUUUUAAACAGUGGUUUUCGAUAAAUCCGUGGGGGGAAGUUUUCAAAUGAACACCCUGUACAUAAAAGAACCGAAAAAAAAUAUAUAUAUACCCCAAUAAAUAAAAUACAUGAAUAAUAAAAUAAUUUACUUGUUUUUCUCCUUUAUUUCCUUCAUCCAUUUAGCUAAGCACUUUAUUCGAUGACCAUUCCAUAAAACCUACGACCUGCAUGCAGCUAUACGAGCUCCUGACUUAUCUUCCUUCGAAGACGUUUCUUCAUCCUUCUGUACUACCAAAGAAGUUCAACGCAUAGAAGAAUUGACCCAAAAAUAAGCAGAAUUACCUCCCAGUAUCCAAUAGUCUGCUUAUUCUCAGUACUCGUGGCUGAAGUUUCUCCACUAUUUCUUUGGGAGAUUGGGCUAUUAUCACCUCCUUCGAUUGAUUUUUUCCCAUGUUUUUUACUAAAAUUAAGCUCCGCGAAACUUAAGCAUUUCACUUGAACUACUCAUUAUCGAAGUUUUUAGUUUUUCACAUUUUUAAAAUAUUUGUACUGGCAAGAUCGCCAUAUGUUAUUUCAGGAUAUUAGUUAAAAAUCACACGUCUUACUUAACGCAUCUAUAUGAACUAAAAAACCAAAAACCCCACAAUAAAAACAUUACAACCAAUCCAACAUAGGACAAUAACAUCGAGUAUUGCUUAGUCUACAAUUAAACAUUUUAUAAUGCAAUUAAACAUCUUACUAUUUUCUAGCAUGACCUUUGUUCUUCAAAACGUUCAAACCUUUUUAUUUGAAGUUGUCUUGUCCGCAACUCUAUUUUUUAGCUCUCUCGAAAGGUUCUUAAUCCACCGCUAUGCUUCACAGUGCCUAUGGUAUGUCUUCCAUCUGAUCCGUGUAACGGUUGAUUUUUGCUUAAACUAUUUUAUAUAUUAAUCUAAUUCUUUAAAAACGAAGAUUCUUAACUAUUUAAUCAAACAAUUAAAAAUUAUCGAACUGUAUAUUACUACUUAAUUCACAGCCAUCCUGUAUAAAUAAUAUUCGUUUGAAAAGAAUCCUAGUCUGGCAUUCUUUGUACGCGUUCUUCGUUUUUUUUUUUGGGUUUUUCGCUCACGGGAAUCCGCCGAGCAUCGAUCAUUUCUGCCGAGAUCCACUUCUCUGCAAAUAGUACAGACUAAAAUCGCUGUUUUGUGGCAAUUUAACGCUUUAGUAAUUUUUGCGUUCCUUUGUAGAUUAAUAGCUACAAAAUUAGCAAAUUAAAUGAAUUAUAUCUCUGUAGGAGUUCUUUUGAAAUUCAUUUGCUGACUUUGGUCAGGAUAAAUGGUUUUUGUCUUAUAGUAGCAUAGAAAAUCUUUCGCUUAAAUAAAUCAAUUUAUAUUGGAGGACUCGAAAGCUAGAACAAUUUUAUUAAUUCUGUUGCUUUCCCAUUGCUGAAUUCUGAAAGUGUAAAAAAAAGUAUAUAAAAGCCACAAAAUUCCACCAUUGUGGUUGAAGGAUAGAGUGAAAAGAAAGACCCAAAGCAGUUCUAUUCUUCCUCGUUGAUCUCCGGUUUCCAGAUUGGAUGAAAGUUAGUUUGAUAUGAUGAAGCUCCAGAUAUGUCCAGUUGUUUGAUGGUGUCCUCGAUUCCUUGAGUCUGUUGUGGUGUCCCAGGCUCCCAGAUAAGUCGUUUAUUUGUAAAUUUGGUGCAGCCUAAAUGCUGAAAACAAAUUGAUUAAUAUAUAUUUUUUUUGUAAUUUUAAUUAAGGCUAAAUUGAAAACUUAUUUUUACUUACCGUGUCCAAAGUAUAAUUUUUGCAAGUAUUUAUUUUAUUCAAAAGUAGUGCUUAAAAUAUUACUUAUCGAUACAAAAGGUGUGAUAACACAGUUUUUUAUGUUUUUAUAUCGGCAGAAGUGUAAACCAAAUUGUGAUCACAAUAAGGUGGGUUUAUCUUCGUUGUAUUUUCUUUAUAAGCUUUUUAAGUGAUACCAUGGUAUAAUAGCUCGUUUUUUUUAAAUUAAA